AAUAUGCAAAAAGUUGCAAAACAGCGAAUUCUAGGUUUGUAGUUCAGCAAUCUUUAAGUAGUCAUAUCUUUUGCAUUACAACUCCAAAUCAAGAGUUUUUUGGACGUACUUGUAGCUUGAGAUGGCGUCUUUUGAGGGUGAUAGCUUAAGAGUUGUUGAAAAGUUUAGAGGUGACAACUUUCACCACUGGAAGGCCAAAAUAGAGCUACUUUUGGCGUCAUUGGAUCU
rnacentral:lncRNA from 1 species